rnacentral:tRNA from 1 species
GGGCCUGUAGCUCAGUUGGGAGAGCGCUUGAAUGGCAUUCAAGAGGUCAGCGGUUCGAUCCCGCUCAGGUCCAC